UAACUUGGCAAAAUACUUUCCCGCCUACAGUUAUCCAAUAAAAUCUUCACGAUUUUGUCAUUUGUCAGUGUUAUUGAAUAGUUUGUGAAAAGCAGCGAGUGUGGGGCAGUCAGACACUCUCCUCUGACAGUGAAGGUGUCUGAUGGUGGAUGUUGUAGCCUCAGGGUGACAUCUUGGAUAAUGCCCUGAACUCUGACUGCAGGCUGCAUUAUUCAUCAGCAGGAAUCACAGGCUUCAUGUUUUAUUUAUCACAGCAGCAACUGAAACUCCACUCAAGACACAAACACUCAGUUUAUGACCGAAAAAGCAGACAUCAGAUACUCCGCUGACACAGGGGAGGGUUUAGUGACCUUUGCUUAUGUUUACAUCUGAGAAAAACUUUCUGGCUUCGUGUCAGUCACCGUAGAGGUUUGUGGUAUGAUCAGAAAUUCAAAUCACGUUGCAUCAAUGUGUGACUGUGCAUGAGAGCAGAGAGACUUUUUUAUAAACCACUGUGUUCAGUUCUCAGCAGGUUGUAGCUUCUGACUAAAUCUGUGUGAUCUGAAUCUUCAUUUCUCUUCUAUCUGCCUGUUGAAUUAUUUCUGUAGUAUUUUCAACAUACGCUGCAGAGAUACAAACAACCCUGCAGCCACAGGUGAAGAGAGGAGAGCAAGGAGAGGAGCAGGCGGAGGAGAGUGUAGGUGUUUGGUGUGCAUCUGAAAAGCAUAUAGAGAUCGAUCUGUAUCACAAUAAAAUGCAAACCUGAUGGUGCAUUUACACCAAGCACAAACUUAUUCCCGCAAGUGAAUUACAUGUUAAGUCUGUGUAAGGAUUAGGGGUGGGAAUCACAAGUGGCCCGACGAUACGAUAUUUUCACGAUACUUCGGCCACGAUACCAUAUUAUUGCGAUUUUUAAAAUUUUGCAAUACAGUGAGUAUUGUGAUACAAUAUAUCGCAAUUUAUAUAAUAUUUUCGACUGUUUCGCAAAUUCAGCAUUUGUCUUUCCUUUAUGUUUGUUUUAUUUACGCUGUACUUUAGUUUCAUGUAGCACAUCUUGCUAACCUUGCAGUAUUUGUUGUACUAACUUUCUCCUGCUCUAUGAUGUCACCUCUGCCAACCUCACUGGACAAACAGUUGAUUUUAUUUGUACAUUACCAUAGAUUUGACUUCAUAUUAGCAAUUAGUUUGAAAAAUGGAUACUUGGUAAAUAAGAUGAUACGAUACAUCACCAGACAAAAUAUCGCAAUAUUAUGCUGUAUCGAUUUUUUCUCCCACCCCUCGUAAAGAUGCAUGUUCUUGUCGACGCCAAUGAAAUCCGAACACAAACCUAAUCCUUGCCUUGAAUCAGCAAGAUGACAGAUGUAAGAAUUUAAAACAAUUUCAAACCAGAUCACUUUGUAUUUUCUCCUUUCAGGGGUAUGAAGAGGUGAAACUCGGUUGGGCUGGUGGGAAAGAAUCAGAGUUCAGGCCUUAAGAGGAUCAGUCUCUGAAAGGCUUCAUGUCCCGAACAUGAGACUUCAAUUAUUGAUCAGCAGAGCCUGUGAGUAAAGCCUGUGGUCUAUUAUUUAUCUGCAGACUGGGUGUUGUGUAACACAAUCGACCCUCUUGCUGCUCGAUGCACCCCUAACAAAAAUACAAGUAUGACCAGGAUUGUUUUAAGGAGAACCGGGGAAAUUAAAAUGUUACUAAGAGUGAAAUUAAGAUCAAGAAAAGAGCAUGAAGAGCUGCUACACUGAUUUUUUUUCUUUUACUGGCACAUUAACAGAAAUAUCCACGUGCAUCUUACAACCAAUCCUGACUCAGGCUCUGUCACCAGCUAAAAUCUGAAGCUGAAAUAUGCCUCUGGGAGUAACGGUGAACUUUUCUAGAGUUCAAGUGCAGUCAGCAGCUGGUGACGACUGACCUUCGGCCAGGACAUCUCUGUCAGUGCAGAGCAUAGAGAACCUCAUCCCCUCACAUUUGCAAACCAAACAUUAUCUUUUCUUGGCUCAUUAUUACAUCCCCAGAGAAGCACCUGCUCCUCUGUUUCUGGUGAGUCUCAGUUUCACAGUGGAUGGUUAGUUGUGCAGAGGCUUCACUCUGGCUUUCUUCAGAAGUAUGAACCCAAUACAGAAAACUACUUUCUUACAAAUUUGAUAGUCAAGCUUUGUCAGGUCUGUUCUAAAGAUGAAAUAAAACCAACUAUCAUCCCAAUCAUUCUAGGAAGUCAGUAAAUCUAAACACUGAUCGACUCUUGUAACAGGACGUCGAGCAGAUGUUUCUCAAGUUAAAAUAUUCGAUGUGGGACAGAUUCUUGGUACAAACUUUCAUGCAGAUGUACUGUAGAAAGACUACAGCUGAUCUGUUCCAGGAUGUCAUUACUAUGGAUUGUGUUACUCAUGUUCUCUCUCUUCUUAUUACCAUUAUUUGAUGAGACAGCUGAAGACAGACAAGAAAGACAGAGAGAAGGAUUA